rnacentral:rRNA from 1 species
AGUCGAACGCUUCUUUUUCCACCGGAGCUUGCUCCACCGGAAAAAGAGGAGUGGCGAACGGGUGAGUAACACGUGGGUAACCUGCCCAUCAGAAGGGGAUAACACUUGGAAACAGGUGCUAAUACCGUAUAACAAUCAAAACCGCAUGGUUUUGAUUUGAAAGGCGCUUUCGGGUGUCGCUGAUGGAUGGACCCGCGGUGCAUUAGCUAGUUGGUGAGGUAACGGCUCACCAAGGCCACGAUGCAUAGCCGACCUGAGAGGGUGAUCGGCCACAUUGGGACUGAGACACGGCCCAAACUCCUACGGGAGGCAGCAGUAGGGAAUCUUCGGCAAUGGACGAAAGUCUGACCGAGCAACGCCGCGUGAGUGAAGAAGGUUUUCGGAUCGUAAAACUCUGUUGUUAGAGAAGAACAAGGAUGAGAGUAACUGUUCAUCCCUUGACGGUAUCUAACCAGAAAGCCACGGCUAACUACGUGCCAGCAGCCGCGGUAAUACGUAUGUGGCAAGCGUUGUCC